rnacentral:rRNA from 1 species
GACGACGCGUGGCGGCGUGGAGUUAGGCAUGCAAGUCGAACGGUAUCAUCCUUUCGGGGGUGAGAGAGUGGCGAACUGGUGAGUAACACGUAGGUUAUCUACCUCAAGACGGGACAACCCAGGGAAACUUGGGCUAAUACCGGAUGUGAGCAACUUUUAGUUGUUUGAAAGGUGGCGUAAGCUGUCGCUUGGGGAUGAGCCUGCGUCCUAUUAGUUAGUUGGUGAGGUAACGGCUCACCUAGGCAAUGAUAGGUAGGCGGCCUUAACGGGUGGUCGCCCACACUGGGAUUGAGAUACGGCCCAGACUCCUACGGGAGGCAGCAGUCGAGAAUAGUCUACAAUGGUCGGAAGACUGAUAGUGCGACGCCGCGUGAACGAUGAAUCCCUUCGGGGUGUAAAGUUCUUUUAUAUGUGAGCAGUGCUUCUUAUAUUAACAGUAUGGGGAGAGAGAUAUUAGCAUAUGAAUAAGCAACGGCUAACUCCGUG